rfam:Paraglaciecola sp. S66 Contig1, whole genome shotgun sequence.
UGUGCUUCCUCUCGACUCCAACUUACCCGAUUUCGAUUGUGCCUUGUCAAAUGACCUCACAGGACGUGAGGUCAAGGCGUGUAGCGCACAAGGAUGUGCGCUCACGCCGGUUUGAUCAACAAGGUACGGUUGAAAUUGGAUCAGUAAGUUGGCCGGAGAGCGGCGUUU